rnacentral:rRNA from 1 species
GAUGAACGCUGGCGGCGUGCCUAAUACAUGCAAGUCGAGCGAACAGACGAGAGUGCUUGCACUCUCUGACGUUAGCGGCGGACGGGUGAGUAACACGUGGGUAACCUACCUAUAAGACUAGGAUAACUUCGGGAAACCGGAGCUAAUACCGGAUAAUAUUUAGCUUCGCAUGAAGCAAUAGUGAAAGACGGUUCUGCUGUCACUUAUAGAUGGACCCGCGGUGUAUUAGCUAGUUGGUGAGGUAACGGCUCACCAAGGCAACGAUACAUAGCCGACGUGAGAGGGUGAUCGGCCACACUGGGACUGAGACACGGCCAAGAGUCCUACGGGAGGCAGCAGUAGGGAAUCUUCCGCAGUGGACGGAAGUAUGACGGAGCAAUGCCGCGUGAGUGAAGAAGGUGUUCGGAUCGUAAAACUCUGUUGUAAGGGAAGAACAAGUACGGUAGUAACUGAACGUACCUUGACGGUACCUUACCAGAAAGCCACGGCUAACUACGUG